UUUAACUGAGCGUUCAGUUACUUGACGUAGACCCGAAACCGGGCGACCUACCCAUGAGCAGGAUGAAGCGAAAGUAAAAUUUCGUGGAGGUCCGAACCCACGAGCGUUGAAAAGCUCGGGGAUGACUUGUGGGUAGCGGUGAAAUUCCAAUCGAGCCCGGAGAUAGCUGGUUCUCCCCGAAAUAGCUUUAGGGCUAGCCUCAAGGUGAGAGAUACGGAGGUAGAGCACUGAAUGUCCUAGGGGGUAUUGCACCUACCGAAGACUAUCAAACUCCGAAUGCCGUCAUCUUAUACUUGGGAGUCAGACUGUGGGUGAUAAGAUUCAUAGUCGAAAGGGCAACAGCCCAGAUCGUCAGCUAAGGUCCCUAAAUGUAAGUUAAGUGGUAAAGGAUGUGGGAUUGCACAGACAACCAGGAUGUUGGCUUAGAAGCAGCCACUCAUUCAAAGAGUGCGUAAUAGCUCACUGGUCGAGUGAUCCUGCGCCGAAGAUUUCCGGGGCUAAAACUUACUACCGAAGCUACGGCAUCAGUAAUGAUGGGUAGGGGAGCUUCCCAUACGGGUUGAAGCAUGACCGUAAGGACAUGUGGACAGUAUGGGAGUGAGAAUGUUGGCAUGAGUAGCGAGAUGUGGGUGAGAAUCCCACAGGCCGUAAACCCAAGGUUUCCAGGGGAAGGUUCGUCCGCCCUGGGUUAGUCGGGACCUAAGCUGAGGCCGAAAGGCGUAGGUGAUGGACAACAGGUUGAUAUUCCUGUACUACCGAUAACCGUUUGAGAGAAGGGAUGACACAGUAGGAUAAGCUAAGCACACUGUUGGUUAUGUGUGCCCAAGCAUUGAGGCAGUCAAAGUAGGCAAAUCCGCUUUGAUAAUGCUGGGAUGUGAUGGGGAGCGAAAUUUAGUAGCGAAGUAGCUGAUUUCACACUGUCAAGAAAAGUCUCUAUCGAGGUUAAAGGUACCCGUACCGCAAACCGACACAGGUGGGUGAGGAGAGU
rnacentral:rRNA from 1 species